rnacentral:rRNA from 1 species
UACAGAGGUCUCAAGCGUUGUUCGGAUUCAUUGGGCGUAAAGGGUGCGUAGGCGGCGCGGUAAGUCGGGUGUGAAAUCUCGGAGCUUAACUCCGAAACUGCAUUCGAUACUGCCGUGCUUGAGGACUGGAGAGGAGACUGGAAUUUACGGUGUAGCGGUGAAAUGCGUAGAUAUCGUAAGGAAGACCAGUGGCGAAGGACGGCAUCCUGGCCCCUGUCCUGACGCUCAGGGGCGAAAGCGUGGGGAGCAAACCGG